rnacentral:rRNA from 1 species
GUGGGGAAUAUUGGACAAUGGGCGAAAGCCUGAUCCAGCCAUGCCGCGUGAGUGAUGAAGGCCCUAGGGUUGUAAAGCUCUUUCACCGGGGAAGAUAAUGACGGUACCCGGAGAAGAAGCCCCGGCUAACUUCGUGCCAGCAGCCGCGGUAAUACGAAGGGGGCUAGCGUUGUUCGGAAUUACUGGGCGUAAAGCGCACGUAGGCGGAUCGGUCAGUUAGGGGUGAAAUCCCAGGGCUCAACCCUGGAACUGCCUUUAAUACUGCCGGUCUAGAGUUCGAGAGAGGUGAGUGGAAUUCCGAGUGUAGAGGUGAAAUUCGUAGAUAUUCGGAGGAACACCAGUGGCGAAGGCGGCUCACUGGCUCGAUACUGACGCUGAGGUGCGAAAGCGUGGGGAGCAAACAGGAUUAGAAACCCUUGUAGUCC